GCAAUCGUAGCUCAGUGGUUAAGGCAGUGGACUCCUGAUCGGAAGGUCGUGAAUUCAAACCCCAGCUCUACCA